UUUCUGUCAGAUAAAGAAAGUGUAAACAUAUCGGCAAAAGGGGAACUGUGGUUUUAUCUGAAACACUAAUCUAUUUAGAGAGAACAAACCUGCCACCUCAAAAUUUCUGUGACCCAGAUGCAUUUUGCUGUACGCGAGCAAGGCACUACCAUUACUGUUUGACAGAACCCUCCGUGAGAAGUUAUACAUGUGCUAAAAGCCACCUCCAACUGUGCCAGCCUGGAAUCUGUCUACUCCGUUAAUGCGGCGAUCUUGCGUUGCUAUCAUUGUUUUACAUGCACGUCUUCAUCAUUCAUCACCAGAGCUGCUGAGCUUGGAACCUUGUCUCCUUGUGUCCAGACUCUCCACCUCCAAGCUGACGUCUUCCACCACAUUCCUGAUGUUUUACAUCGAGCAUGUGUUGAUUUGGACUAGAAAGCAAACCAGUCACUUCUGUUCGGGCGGCAAAGGAGUCAUCGAAGUAGAACUUGCUCUCCUGGCACAAAGAACCAGAAGACAAGGACAAAAUAUGUAAAGUGACUGUGCUCAGAUACGGGGACACUCGGCCACGGAGCACGUGGUCCCUGAGGUGAUGGAAACAAAUGAGACCCAGCCAAUCUGCAGCACACCCUAGGGCCGGGAUUUGGAGUUCGUGAGACAAUGAAGCAAGGGGUCCUUCCUGGUUGUGACAAGAUGACAGCCACCCCCAGCUCCAGCGUCACCGAGUCGGCUGUAGUGUCCAGUGUGUCACACGGGCGGCACCAGCAGGGCCCUUCUGUCACCUCUCCUGUCUCCUCCACGUCUGUCCUUUCCCGUCCUGUCUACUCUCCGAGCUACUCAAGGGUCAUCCCCUGAGCGCAUUUGUUUCCCACUGUGACCUCCUAUAACCGGUUUCUGUUGCUACAGCUGAGAUCCCUGAAACACACCUUCUCAGGGCCCUGCUGCACCAGCCCCAGCUCCCCGGCCUUGGCAAACUGCAGAGGACAGGAUGGGCCUGCUUCCAGACCCUGGUCCCCAGGCCUCGGCACCAGGGCCAGGUCCCACGGGCUGCUGGAGCCCCAAGGGCUGGUAGGAGGAGAGGGAAGGGGAGGGUCCUGCAUUUAUGGACCCAGGACAUUGUGAAGCCACCUUUGAUUGGACAGAGCAGGCUUUCAGAAGACCCAGGGCCACCUGGCUGGAAAUGGAUAUAGUCAAUUCCCCCUGUGACUCCUAAGCCCUUCCCCAUCCAUCUCUCAGGAAGGAGCAUGUCAAGAGCUUAGUGUUAUCACCCACCACCCCCGCUCGCUAUACAGGGAGAGCCAUUUCUUCGAGGACUCCUACUUUUUGUCUGCUUCAAACUCCUGUCCCCAGCACGGCCAAGUACCCACCACCUCCUGUGUCAUCCCGGCUUAUGUUGAGAAUGAAUGAUUUGUCCAGCAGAGGAGGGGGACUUGCUCUCAUGUUCCCCCUUCCUGGCUCAUUCCCACCGGGAGGAGAUGCCUUCAGCCAGAGAGUGAACUUAACUUCCAGGCCAUCCCCUCUAGCCUUACUGACUAGCGCCAACCUGGUUAGCCCCCAAGCACUAUGAUGGCGUAUAUUUCGGGAGCUCCCAGCCACCCCAUCCACGGGCAGCCACCCUCCACGCCUUGUACUAGACUGCCCACCAUCUGUAGUUGGCCAAACAAAAGUUAGGAACGAGAUGAUGAUGUGUCACGGUUCCUUGGUUGUAAGCAACGAACCAACUCUAUCUAGCUAACCCAACAAAUGGAGACCCUGGUUCAAGGGCUUUCAGGUAGCUCACAGAGAGGACAGGAGGCUGGAGAUCCAGUCUUGAAAUGGGAUAGGAGCCAACGGCAACUGGUCAACUGUUGCGUUGGAGAGUUACUGGGGAGAUGGGUGUGCGCUCAGCGUGAUCUCUGAGGAUGCACGGGUCUGUCCAAAAUUCACAGUGUCAGGAGAGUCUGAGUGGCCCUGUCUGGCUCAUGGGUCCACCUCUUGGCUUGUGGAAAAGUCCUUUGAUUUACUGUCCCACCCAGAGGGCACACAGGGCGAGAAGCUCAACUCCACAAACAAAAGCUGGGGUGCUGGGGCGCCUGGGUGGCUCAGUCGGUUGGGGGGCCCACUCCUGGUUUUGGCCCAAGUCACGAUCUCACAGUUUCAUGGGUUCGAGCCCCGUGUCU